GAUGAACGCUGGCGGCGUGCCUAAUACAUGCAAGUCGAGCGAAUGGAUUAAGAGCUUGCUCUUAUGAAGUUAGCGGCGGACGGGUGAGUAACACGUGGGUAACCUGCCCAUAAGACUGGGAUAACUCCGGGAAACCGGGGCUAAUACCGGAUAACAUUUUGAACCGCAUGGUUCGAAAUUGAAGGGCGGCUUCGGCUGUCACUUAUGGAUGGACCCGCGUCGCAUUAGCUAGUUGGUGAGGUAACGGGUCACCAAGGCAACGAUGCGUAGCCGACCUGGAAGGGUGUGCGGCCACACUGUGACUGAGACACGGCCCAGAUUCCUACGAGAGGCAGCAGUAGGGAGUCUUCCGCAAUGGACGAAAGUCUGACGGAGCAACGCCGCGUGAGUGAUGAAGGCUUUCGGGUCGUAAAACUCUGUUGUUAGGGAAGAACAAGUGCUAGUUGAAUAAGCUGGCACCUUGACGGUACCUAACCAGAAAGCCACGGCUAACUACGUGCCAGCCGCCGCCGUAA
rnacentral:rRNA from 1 species